rnacentral:lncRNA from 1 species
GCAUAACCAUUACUUUUGUUGACUUAUUGCAUAUAUAUAUCUAUAUAUGUCCUAUGUUUGCACAUACCAUGGCACAUAUAGAGAUCAGAGGACAUAUUGUAGAAAUCACUUUUCUCCAUCUACCUAUGUAGAUAUAUAUGGUCCUAAGAAUUGAACUCGGAUCUUCAAGCUUGACAGCAAGUUCUCCCUCUCCUUUUCAUUAAAUAGUAUACAUUGUAUUAUGUGUCAUGACUCUACUUUUUUCUUUUUAAUAAGAUUCCAAAGUCAUGUGCUGCAAUAGCAGAAUUACUUCAACAAUCAAAGAAUCCUUCCAUUAGCCAGACACUACUUAGCCCAGAAAAGAUUAAAGAAGGACAGAAGCGUCAACAAGAUAAGAAUGCUGAUGCCCUAAGGUAACUGAUAAACUUUCUGCUAAGACAAAAUAUUACCGUUAAUAUAUUUUUUUCUAGCUCUACAAUAUAAAUGUAACUUACCACUUACACAUUGAUUUCUGGGGAAAUGAAAAAAGUUGGGAGAUGAUUGUUGUAAAGGGCCUGAAUUUUCACUUUUAGGAAGAGAGCUGAAAGAAAAAUAGGUAAAACAGUUAUUGCUGUAUCUUUUUCACUAUGAAUUCCUUUUUAUUGUAUACAUAUAAUAUAAUUGUUACACUUUAUUAUUAAGUCCUAAGUUCAAGUUCAAUACAUUCCUUUAUAGCUUUUAAGUAAUCUCUUUUUGAUAAAAUUUGGUAGUAGGUAUUAAUAAGCUUUUUUUUUUUUUUUAAAUUUGGGAAACCAGAGCAAGUCCAUGGAAACAAAGUGAUAGCCUUCUUAACUAAGUUUUGGGCUUACCAUGUAACUAAUACAUGAUUAUGUCUACCUACUGUUUCUGAAAAUGCCUUAUUUUUUAUCAGAAUAUUGCCCAGUCUGUUCUUAACUCAUGAGCUUAAGAGCUCUUCCUGCCUCAGUAUCCCAAUGAAUCACUUAUGAAUAUGGGAGCUAGCUACAACCCCCAAGCUUGUUUUCUAAAGUGUCUUUGUAAACACUGAAUUCCCAUAGCUGGUUUAGUUGAUUUCUGAUAGCAGCUUACUAUACAGACAAGAGUAUACUGCUAACUUUUUUUUAUUACAGUUUUAAUGUUUACUUUGGAACACUCAGAAAUAGUUUGCUGGGCAUACUUUUCAUGCUGGUACUUUUUGUGUGGAGGCAGGAGGAGCAGACAUUCAAAGUUAGCCUGUAGUAUAAGACCUUAUCUCAAAAACAAAAACAAAAAAACAAAACAAAACAAAAACAAACAAAUUAAAAAAAAACCCU